rnacentral:rRNA from 1 species
GGAAGGAUCAUUACAGUAUUCUUUUGCCAGCGCUUAACUGCGCGGCGAAAAACCUUACACACAGUGUCUUUUUGAUACAGAACUCUUGCUUUGGUUUGGCCUAGAGAUAGGUUGGGCCAGAGGUUUAACAAAACACAAUUUAAUUAUUUUUAUUGAUAGUCAAAUUUUGAAUUAAUCUUCAAAACUUUCAACAACGGAUCUCUUGGUUCUCGCAUCGAUGAAGAACGCAGCGAAAUGCGAUAAGUAAUAUGAAUUGCAGAUUUUCGUGAAUCAUCGAAUCUUUGAACGCACAUUGCGCCCUCUGGUAUUCCAGAGGGCAUGCCUGUUUGAGCGUCAUUUCUCUCUCAAACCCCCGGGUUUGGUAUUGAGUGAUACUCUUAGUCGAACUAGGCGUUUGCUUGAAAAGUAUUGGCAUGGGUAGUACUGGAUAGUGCUGUCGACCUCUCAAUGUAUUAGGUUUAUCCAACUCGUUGAAUGGUGUGGCGGGAUAUUUCUGGUAUUGUUGGCCCGGCCUUACAACAACCAAACAAGUUUGACCUCAAAUCAGGUAGGAAUACCCGCUGAACUUAAGCAUAUCAAACGGGGGAAAAAAAAAAACCUUACAGGUAAUUUCUUUUUGGCAGCGCUUAACUGCGCGGCGAAAAAACCUUACACACAGUGUCUUUUGAUACAGAAACUCUUGCUUUGGUUUGGCCUAGAGAUAGGUUGGGGCCGAGGGUUUAACAAAACAAUUUAAUUAUUUUAUUGAUAGUCAAAUUUUGAAUUAAUCUUC